UCGUAGAGAAGCAUCUUACUGGGGUCUGCAUUUGUUUGUUUAUUUAUUUAUUAUCGAACAAAGAAAAAGCAGGCUGAGGAGCUGAAGUAAGAAGACUGGUGAAAGUGGUUGCAAAGAGGUCCUGGUUUAGGCCUGACACCAGGAGGGAGUGUGUUAAAUUUCUUCUUGCUGUCAGCCAUUCCCAGGUAAAGGUUAUUCUGCUGGCCUGGAUGUAAAUAACCAUCAGUUUGUCUUCAGAAUCAUGUCUGAAUCACCACAAUAUAUUGAGGCUUUUCUUGCUGUAUCAGAGGAGCUAACGAAAAGCAGUUUUGAUUAGGCCAAAGGCAAGAGUACUGGAGUGGGUUGCCAUCUCCUCCAGGGGAUCUUCCCGACCCAGGGAUCGACCCUUCGUCUCUUUGCGUCUCCUGCAUUGGCAGGUAGGUUCUUUAUCGCUGUACCACUGGGAAGCCUUCCUGAAAUAGGAAGACCCCAUGAAAGGUAAGUUCAAGUCAUCUCUUUUAUUUAUUUACUUAUUUUUUUUUCAAGUCAUCUCUUUUAAUAUAGAGCUCUGUCUGUGUGUGUGUCUUCCCUUUGUAGUUUAUUGCUUACCUCUUGAAAAACUAGAUUAUAUGAUGUAUAUGGUUUUACACAAUGUGGAUUUUGCUGAUUAUUUCCCUUUGGUGCCAUUUAACAUGUUCCCCUUUCCUCUGUGUUUUCUAGAAAUUGCCAGGUGGGGACUAUAAGCUUGAUGAAGUUCAUGUCUAAUCUGUUUCACUGUAGUGCCGUGUGCGGGCCCUCCCUUCUCAGCCUUCUCUCGUUCCACGCGUGGCUGUGUUAGCAGCCGUGGUGUCCUCUUUGCUGUCUUCAGUCACUUGUCCGUGUCUGACUCUUCAUGACCCCAUGGACUGUAGCCCUCUGUCUGUGGCAUUCUCCAGGCAAGGAUACUGGAGUGAGCUGCCAUUUCCUUCUCCAGGAUAAUCCUCCUUAUAUCCUACUAACGUGCUACAAGUUAUGAAAUGAUGACACUCUAAUUUAUCAUUUAGCCUUCACUGAUGAGCUGCAAUAUUUCCAUAAAGGGAGUAGUUAGCUAUAUGACAGUUCAUCUAGGUAAUAUGGGCUAAAUGCUGGA